GUCCCCUCCAGGAUCCCUCGCUUCACACACUCUUCUCUCCCAACUCCUCUCCGGGUCGAUCCCGACCGGGAGCUCGACUUUCAGAAGAGAGACGCCCCAGCAAGCCUCUUUAGGGGAGUUCUCCAGCUCCUCAUCUCCAUGGGCCAGACAGCCUCGGCAGGGGGCGGCGGCAGCAGCACCCACAGCCCGCAGGCCCUGUACCCUGACCUGUCUUGUCCCGAGGGCUUAGAGGAGCUGCUCUCGGCUCCCCCGCCUGACCUGGGGGCCCAACGGCGCCACGGCUGGAACCCCAAGGACUGCUCAGAGAACAUCGAGGUCAAGGAAGGGGGGCUGUGCUUUGAACGGCGGCCCGUGGCCCAGAGCACUGAUGGGGCCCGGGGUAAGAGGGGCUACUCGAGGGGCUUGCACGCCUGGGAGAUCAGCUGGCCCCGGGAGCAGAGGGGCACCCACGCUGUGGUGUGCGUGGCCACGGCCCUCGCGCCGCUGCAGGCUGACCACUAUGCGGCGCUGCUGGGCAGCAACAGCGAUUCGUGGGGCUGGGACCUUGGGCGCGGGCAGCUGUACCAUCAGAGCAAGGGGCCCGAGGCCCCCCGGUAUCCAGCCGGACCUCAGGGUGAGCAGCUGGAGGUGCCGGAGAGGCUGCUGGUGGUUCUGGAUAUGGAGGAGGGAACUCUGGGCUACGCUAUUAGGGGCACCUACUUGGGGCCGGCCUUCCGCGGACUGAAGGGCAGGACCCUCUAUCCAGCAGUAAGCGCUGUCUGGGGCCAGUGCCAGGUCCGCAUCAGCUACCUGGGCGAAAGGAGAGCCGAGCCACACUCCCUUCUGCACCUGAGCCGCCUGUGUGUGCGCCACGCCCUGGGGGAUACGCGGCCAGGCCACGUUUCUGCUCUGCCCUUGCCCCCCGCCAUGAAGCGCUACCUGCUCUACCGGUGACCCCCGUGAUACCACGGAUUGCACUGGGGCCUUGACCCACCCCCUGCUGGCCUAGACCAGCUGCCUGAAGCAGGGUCCCGUGGCUGCCUCAGAAGGGAAAAAGAUGAUCUGGACAAGUUCAGUGAAGAAGGACACACCCCAAGGCUUAGUGCCAGGUGUUUAUUUCCCACACACGCAGGACUGCUCACAGACACAACACACACAGGCAUCGGCACCGUGGGAGGGAGCAGCACCCCGGCCUCAGCAGAGGACAGGGCUUUCUCUCAGCCCGAUCUCAUGGCGUGAGAUGGGACAGGACGGGUUCUUGCUCCUGCCUUCACUGGGGACUGAGGGGACCCAUAAGCAAACACCCCUCCCACCUCUCAGCCAAGCUAAAGCCACCUUGGUGACAGGUUGAGUUCCAACUGAUACAGUAAGUGGAAGCGGGAGUGGCCUGGUCCCAACCAUUACAGGGUAGGGUGUAAACGGUAAAGGAAGAGGUACACUUUGGAUUAGGCCACAAGAGGCAGCAGGUGACACCAUCAGAAGCACGUGUGAAGGUCGGGGGGCAGUAGUUACUGGGCUUCUGAGCUACCUAGUCCCUGUCUCAGCAGGAAGGGUAGCAGAGACGGGCAGGGCUUAAUGUUUGGCAUUGAUGAUGUCCACGAAUUCAGGCUUGAGGGAAGCGCCCCCCACAAGGAAGCCAUCCACGUCAGGCUGGCUUGCCAGCUCCUUGCAGGUUGCCCCAGUCACAGAACCUGGGAAGGGAGAAGAGAGGGGGAGAGGUCAGGGAUGGGAGGGGGUACUCCAUGUCGAAGAAGGACUCAAUCGGGUUCUCAGCCCACUCCACCUCUGGCUGGAACCAAACUCACUUACCCCCAUAAAUGAUGCGGGUGCUGUGAGCCACUGCAUCAGAGAUGUUGGACUUAAGCCAUCCCCGGAGCUUUUCGUGUACUUCCUGGGCCUAGAACAAGAAGCUAGACUAAGACUUUCACUCAAAGGGGCAAAAACCCUGUGCACCAGUGUAGACAGGCAGUGUGGUUUUGGGACAAGAACCCUGGGAUCUGAGAUAGAACACCGGGGCUUCGAUCCCACCCAGGUCCUGGAAUGGAUGUCCUUUGACAUGUCACUCUCUUUUCUCCUGUCUUUUAUUUUUACUUAUUUUUAGUUUUUAUUUUUUU